rnacentral:rRNA from 1 species
UGGAUGAUGUGGAUUAAUUCGAUGCAACGCGAAAACCUUACUACCCUUGACAUGUCCGGAAUCCCGAAGAGAUUUGGGAGUGCUCGCAAGAGAACCGGAACACAGGUGCUGCAUGGCUGUCGUCAGCUCGUGUCGUGAGAUGUUGGGUUAAGUCCCGCAACGAGCGCAACCCUUGUCAUUAGUUGCCAUCAUUUGGUUGGGCACUCUAAUGAGACUGCCGGUGACAAACCGGAGGAAGGUGGGGAUGACGUCAAGUCCUCAUGGCCCUUAUGGGUAGGGCUUCACACGUCAUACAAUGGUCGGUACAGAGGGUUGCCAACCCGCGAGGGGGAGCUAAUCCCACAAAGCCGAUCGUAGUCCGGAUCGCAGUCUGCAACUCGACUGCGUGAAGUCGGAAUCGCUAGUAAUCGUGGAUCAGCAUGUCACGGUGAAUACGUUCCCGGGUCUU